rnacentral:tRNA from 1 species
GCCUCGGUAGCGCAGUAGGCAGCGCGUCAGUCUCAUAAUCUGAAGGUCAUGAGUUCGAUCCUCACUCGGGGCG